CCCUUAGAUGUUCUGGGCCGCACGCGCGCUACACUGAUGCAUUCAACAAGCCUAGCCUUGACCGAGAGGUCCGGGUAAUCUUUGAAACUGCAUCGUGAUGGGGCUAGAUUAUUGCAAUUAUUAAUCUUCAACGAGGAAUGCCUAGUAAGCGUGAUUCAUCAAAUCGCGUUGAUUACGUCCCUGCCCUUUGUACACACCGCCCGUCGCUCCUACCGAUUGAAUGUGUUAGUGAGGAGCUCGGAUUGGCAGCAGUUGGUGGUUCGCCACCGGCUAUUGCUGAGAAGUCCUCCAAACCGCCCCAUUUAGAGGAAGGAGAAGUCGUAACA
rnacentral:rRNA from 1 species